rnacentral:rRNA from 1 species
CCGGUCCCAUCCCGAACCCGGCAGUUAAGCUCGACAGCGCCGAUGGUACUUGGAGGGCAACUUCCUGGGAGAGUAGGUCAUUGCCAAAA